UACAGAGGUCUCAAGCGUUGUCCGGAAUCAUUGGGCGUAAAGAGCGUGUAGGCGGUCCGGUAAGUCGGCUGUGAAAGUCCAGGGCUCAACCCUGGGAUGUCGGUCGAUACUGCCGGACUAGAGUUCGGAAGAGGCGAGUGGAAUUCCCGGUGUAGCGGUGAAAUGCGCAGAUAUCGGGAGGAACACCUAUGGCGAAGGCAGCUCGCUGGGACGUUACUGACGCUGAGACGCGAAAGCGUGGGGAGCGAACAGG
rnacentral:rRNA from 1 species